rnacentral:lncRNA from 1 species
UUCGUGCCGGUUGAUAAGCGUAGAGUUGAAUUUAUUCCUCCGUAUUUGCUUCUGAUCGUUGCGUAAAAACUGUCGAGCUAAUCGUUUUCGUGCCUCCAGUGGGUUUUUUUUAGAUAUUGGACUCUUUUCUUAGUGACAAGUGAGCACAUUGACUCGUGAGCAUUGGACUCUUAUUUUUAGUGAUAUUGUUGUUUUACUCCGGAAAAAUGUCUGCACCUGGUAGAAGUCGAGUAAACUACUCUUUGUCUCGCCGGUGUGUUAAUUGCUCUUUACGUAUAGCGCCUAAUCUUCGUAGACGUUAAAUUGAAGAAAUAGAUGAACCAAUGCUUAUCCUUGUAAGAACCUGGGUAACACCUACAUUGAUAUCUUCUGAUGAUAUCCUGUGUGUGAAAUGUUUUGUAUUAUUACAAAACCAGACAGCAUCUAACUCAAAUCUGUCACUUGUAUCCCCUGCUCGUGGACACCUAAACAUAUGCUACGCAUGUGGCUUGUCAAUAGCAAGUCGCAGAACUCAUAGAGUCAGUCAAGAUAGUUCCUCAAAGGAAUGUUAUACUAAGAUGGACACCAGUACAUCACGUGUUGCAUUUGGAACGAGUUUGUGUUCCUUGUUGGGCGGCUGAAUCAAGACAAGUCCGGAGGCAACCCGUUGCUGGCAGUAGCCAACACACUGUGGAGUCUGCACCGGAGACUGGUAUCAUGGAUGGAAACAUAAUUACAGAUAUGAUGAUUCCUGUACCACCACCGCUGGCACCGCUUUAAUGAUAUAAGCACUCCAGCACAAUUUCUAGACAACAUAUUCCUUGAAGAAUAAAUGUCUAUUAUUUUAA